GUCUGGGCUUUCCGAGGACCGCGAGCAGCUGUGCCCAGAGCUCUGGGAAAGUCCCCUCUCUUUGCUUCUUAUAAAUUAAGUUCCUUUCCACCAGUUAGGGCAAGUCAGCCAAGAUAGACUGAAGAGGAGCAAGAACAGAAACAGGGAGCCAGUUACAGAUCAAUCCCAAGAAUUCUGGGGAGAAAUGAUGGUGUCUGCAGCAGAGUGACAGCAGUGGAGAUUGAGAGAAAAGGUUUUCAAAAAUGGGAACAUAUUGAACCCUUGGUUCUACAACUACCUUCUUACAACGAAGUUGAAAAUGGUUGCUUGUGUUCCACUACUGUGAAGAGUUGGAAUCAGACAACUACAGCUUUGAUUUUCCAAGUGCUUCAGAAUGUAAAUAUGAUCUGACCUUUCCCUGAUGGACAGUUAAAUCAUGGACACGCUAAACAAUUUACUUUGGACUGUCCUUCCUAAAGAUGCUCUGGCUUCUCUCUUGAAUGCUCACUAAGCAUUUGUAGCUGACAAGGAAAGGAAGGAAAACUGUGAACUGGAAAGUUAUCUUACAAUGAAAAUUACGAGC
rnacentral:sRNA from 1 species